rnacentral:rRNA from 1 species
CUGAUUUGAAGAGCUUGCUCAGAUAUGACGAUGGACAUUGCAAAGAGUGGCGAACGGGUGAGUAACACGUGGGAAACCUACCUCUUAGCAGGGGAUAACAUUUGGAAACAGAUGCUAAUACCGUAUAACAAUAGCAACCGCAUGGUUGCUACUUAAAAGAUGGUUCUGCUAUCACUAAGAGAUGGUCCCGCGGUGCAUUAGUUAGUUGGUGAGGUAAUGGCUCACCAAGACGAUGAUGCAUAGCCGAGUUGAGAGACUGAUCGGCCACAAUGGGACUGAGACACGGCCCAUACUCCUACGGGAGGCAGCAGUAGGGAAUCUUCCACAAUGGGCGAAAGCCUGAUGGAGCAACCGCCGCGUGUGUGAUGAAGGGUUUCGGCUCGUAAAACACUGUUGUAAGAGAAGAAUGACAUUGAGAGUAACUGUUCAAUGUGUGACGGUAUCUUACCAGAAAGGAACGGCUAAAUACGUGCCAGCAGCCCGCGGUUAAUACA